rnacentral:rRNA from 1 species
AUUGAACGCUGGCGGCAUGCCUUACACAUGCAAGUCGAACGGUAACAGGUCUUCGGAUGCUGACGAGUGGCGAACGGGUGAGUAAUACAUCGGAACGUGCCUAGUAGUGGGGGAUAACUACUCGAAAGAGUGGCUAAUACCGCAUGAGAUCUACGGAUGAAAGCAGGGGAUCGCAAGACCUUGUGCUACUAGAGCGGCCGAUGGCAGAUUAGGUAGUUGGUGGGAUAAAAGCUUACCAAGCCGACGAUCUGUAGCUGGUCUGAGAGGACGAUCAGCACACACUGGGACUGAGACACGGCCCAGACUCCUACGGGAGGCAGCAGUGGGGAAUUUUGGACAAUGGGCGAAAGCCUGAUCCAGCAAUGCCGCGUGCGGGAUGAAGGCCUUCGGGUUGUAAACUGCUUUUGUACGGGACGAAAAGCCCCGGGUUAAUACCCUGGGGUCAUGACGGUACCGUAAGAAUAAGCACCGGCUAACUACGUGCCAGCCGCCGCAGUAA